UUUCACUAAUACAUGGGGCCUUGCCAGUUCGUAAUAUUUGUCUUCACUAAUGCAUGUGGCCUUACCAGUUGACACCCUAGACAUUUCACAGUUCGAUCUGCCUCGUUGCCCAUCUGAAAGGCCAUGCCAUAUAUAUAACAUAAUCAUUAAUUCAAACCACCACCACCAACGAUCCACAACAUUAGAACACAAGAUAGAUUCCAAAAUUUAGAUAUACACUAAUGCACUGUCGGACUCAAGUUGGGGGGACUGGGGGCGGUUGCCCCCACUCGGAUUUAGUUUUCUGAAACUGGAAGGUCAUUUGCAGGUGUUGUUGGGUUUGUGUAAUGGUCCUUCGUUAUAUCUGUGGCUAAUUUGAGUUUCUAUCGGAAGUUUCUUUCAAAAAUAUUAAAGGAAAGAGAAAGGAGAGAGAGAUGAGAGUAUAAACAUCAUAUGAUGGUCAACCCUUCCGGCGUCGACGGAGUGAAAAGUCUGUUCUUUUUUGUUGUUAUUGGGUGUUCUUCCAUAUUUCUAGUUUGAUUUAGGAAAAUAUCUUUUUUUCUGUUUCUCGUGUUUGUUUUGUCCUCAGUUGUUGCUGGGCCUGGUUUUGGACUUUUAUUCCAUAUACCAAAAAAUAAAACAGGGAUAGAGAGGGACAAUCAGAUUUGCUCAUGAUAGUGUAGAUAUAUAGGCAAAAUUGUCAAUUUGCUACCCUAACAGGGACGGAGCCAGGAUUCCAAAA
rnacentral:lncRNA from 1 species